rnacentral:misc_RNA from 1 species
GAAAGCUGGCAGUGGCAGACUCAAGUGUUUUAGGGUUUAAGGCAGCUCUGAGUUAUCAAUUUUGUAUUUGACACUUGAGGUUUUUAACUCUUUUUUCUUCUAUCAAAGCUUUUUGUUCCUGCACUUGUGAUAAACAACCCAAAAACACCAUGGCCACAACCAUAGCUUCGCAGUUGCAGGCAAUUAGGUCUGUCAUACAAGCCGAUUCGGAGCCCCAAAAGCGACCCAUCACUCGGCCUUCUAUUCUGUUCGAUCCUAAAGAAGCUGCCGAUAUUGAUAUUGAUACCAUACUCAGUAUUGCACAUUCAGGUUUGGAAGUUCUUAUAAGUGUGAACGAUCGCUUUAGAAACUAUAAGAAUGAUCUGUUCAGUCAUAAAAGUAAAGAAUUGGAUAGAGAAAUGAUGACUCAAGACGAAAAUAACAGUAUUAAUGCUACCAUUGGUUCGUACCUGAAGUUACUCUCGGGACAUCUUCAACUACCUGCUUCCCACAAGACACUUGAAUAUUUGAUACGCAGAUACAAGAUUCACAUAUACAAUGCUGAGGAUUUGAUUUUAUGUGCCUUGCCAUACCAUGACACACAUGCUUUUGUCCAAAUAGUUCAGCUAAUCGACACAAGAAAUAGUAAAUGGAAGUUUUUGGACGGUGUCAAAGUCUCGGGUGCACCACCUCCUAGAAAUGUUGUGGUGCAGCAGUGUAUUCGGGAUAUGGGAGUUUUGGAGGCUCUGUGCAAUUAUGCAUCUCCAACAAGAAAGUUUCAAUCUUCAAGACCUGUCAUCAGCUUUUGCACAGCAGUUAUUAUUGAAGCUUUGGGUUCUUUAACCAUUGUUAAUAGCGAUGUUGUGAAGAGAAUGCUUCCAUUUGUAGUUUCUGGGCUUCAGCCUGUCACCAAAGUAGGUUCAGAUCACAAGGCUGGUGCUAUGAUGAUUGUUGGUUUGCUAGCAAAUAAAGUUGCAUUGGCUCCUAAGCUUGUUAAAAGUUUGAUUCGGUCGAUUUCUGAGAUGGUUCAUGAGGAUGCAAAAGAGUCAACUGAUCUGCAAUGGCUUCGUUUAUCACUUAUGGCUUUAAUUAACCUUGUUCAGUUGCAGUCAAUGGAUACAUUUCCGAAGAAAGCUUUGGACAUUUUGAAGGAAACUGGGGAUAUUGUGGGAGUUCUUUUAGAACUCUCUAAAGAGUUCAAUAUUGAUAGGUUCCUUUCUGUGCUUUUGGAAUCUCUGGUUGACAACAGUUCUUCUGAUGAUGCAAGUUGUCGCACUUUGAUAUCCAUUAUAGAGACUGUUCCAGUAAAGAAUUUUGUUGAACACUUGGUAUCAAGGGUCCUCUUAUCUUGCAUAAAAAUGACACAGAGAAAUGACAAUCCAAUACCAUCUGAAUCAGGGAGCUGGGCUAAGAUGAUUUUGAUGGUUGUUAAUAAGAAUUAUCCAUCUGAACUUCAUCAAGCAGUUCACAAAUUCUUGGAGGAUACCAAAACCCAAUCCAAGAAAGAUGUUGCAGUAUUUGAAACUUUAUGUAAGAUGUUGGAUGGGAACUUGGAUCUGUCAGUGGCUACAUCAGAUUCUAAAAUGUGGUUAGGUCUGCACCAUCCAAAGGCCGAAGUCCGACGUGCUACACUGUCUGGUUUAAAGACAUCUGGCGUUUUGAAAACCUCUGGCAUUGAUUCCCAGAGGCUUGUAAAUAUUCGAGAUGCAAUAUUACGCCAGCUUUAUGAUGAUGAUCUGACUGUUGUUCAAGCAUCUUUAUCUCUUGAGGGAUUGUCCAAAAUAAUCAGCGCUUCUGAUUUUCUUGAAGCAUUGGAUAACGUACUUAAAAGAUGUGGUGGCACCAAAUGGUCAAAUAAAUGUACUCUGCUUGGUGAUGUGGUUGUUUCAUUCUUGAAGAUUGCUAUCUCAACCUUCCAUGAUCAGGCUGAUUAUUCAAAGAAACUUGCUGCCAGGAUAUUUCCUUUACUCCUAAUUUUCCCCAAGACUCAGAGGCUAAAUUUGAAGGUUUUGGAAUUAGUAAAGGAAAUGGACUGGCCAUUGUACCAUAAUCUUAAUGGUAUCCCCACUGAAGAAAUGAAUUUGCAACGUGAAAACAUAUCGGUAGUUAAUAUGAAGAUUGUUAGCAGCUUGGCUGAAACAUUGACAAUGCACCCUGAUGAAUAUGCAUCUUGGCUUAUCAAGAGCCAAAACGACUUUAGUUCAUCCAAGACACUUUUCUUCUUGGUUGUGAUGCAGUCAUUUCUAAAUUCAAAGAAAGAUAGUGGGCAGUUUUUGGCACUUUUUGAAGCUUGCUUCCCUGUUUUAAAGACUGAGUGGGAAGUUUUUGAGUCUGCUGCUGAUAUUUAUGAGAAUGAGUUUAAUAAGGAGAUGAUACACUGGGACUGCCAAAGAUUCUUAGAUCAGCUAGUUGAUUCUGAUGCCAAUGCAUUAAACGCAGACAUUCUAAUUUGUGUCUUUUGGAGGUUACUGGAGGUGUUUUCUUCAAUAGCAACUGCCGAUGUCUUGUUGGAUGAUAAUGGCAAGUGGUUAAGCAGCAAAUGUAGGGAAUUGUUUGUCUUCUUUGCGAGCUCUCAAUGGAAGCAUGUUUUUAAGGAGCAUCUUCAUUACCUUGCUACAAAGUGCAAGAUCUCUCCUAUUAAUUUUCUAUCUGGGUUUUUCACAGAUGAAGAUAUUCCUGUUGCUGUCCAAGUUGAGAGUCUUCACUGUCUUGCGUUUCUUUGUAUGGAACCUGAUGAUAGAUUGCUGUUUCAACUUCUGGCCAAUUUUCCUUCACUUCUUGUUCCACUUGCCAGUGAUAGCCAGGAUAUGAGAAUUGCUGCCAUGGGCUGCAUUGAAGGACUCUAUGCACUUUCACGUCGUGUUGACUAUUUAAGCAAGAAAAAUGGGAACAAUGCAAAUUGGAGUCAUUUCCUUGAAGAACUUUUGGGUUUAAUUGUCCAACAAAAAAGGGUUAUAUUAUCAGACAAGAACUUUCUACCUUCUUUGUUGACUUCCUUGCUUGGCUCAUCACGUGGUAGUCUUCUAGUGCCACAAAAUGUUGAACAGAGAUUUGAUAAACCUACGAAGGAAAAGGUUCUUGCUUUCGUCUUGGGUUAUGCUCUUCAACUUUCUGCACAUGCAAAGCUAAUGAUUAUAUUUUUGCUCAAAGGAUUGGGGAAUAUGAUAAUGUGCAUUAAAGAUGUUGAAGUGUUUUUGUCCCAACUUCUGACAAGACGCAAACAAUUUUAUUUUGAGGCAGACAAGUCAUUCCAUAAAUUGUCCAAAACUGAAGUCAAGAUCUUGUGCCUUUUACUGGAGAUCUGUGCUACACCACCUUCUUCAUUUGAGGGAUGUGCUUUUGAAGAUUAUUUAUUGGAGGCUCUGCACUUGGACGGUCACUCUUUGGAAAAAUAUGCCAUUGCAGAACCUUGUAUUACCGUUUUGCAGAAGCUAACUUGUCAAUUUUACAGUGGCUUGACGACUGAGAAACAGGGGCUACUGUUUCGUGAGCUUGUGGUUUUGUUCCGGAGUGCUAAUAUUGAUAUACAAAACGCAACCAGAGAAGCCUUGCUGCGUUUGAAUAUUACUUGCUCUACGGUUGUCCAUGCACUUGAUUUUAUAUUCAAACAACAUAGUGGCAAAACUGAUUCAGCAUAUGGGAGGAAAAAGAAGAAGAAAUCAAUGGCGCAUCAAACGUCAACGUCAGAUCAUAAUUUGGUUUGUAAGGGGGAAACUGAUUUACAUUCACUGAGCUCCCUGCUUGACAUAUUGAUACUGAAGAAAGAUAUGGCUAACAGGGAAUCUCUUAUUGGGCCUUUGUUUGAGCUUCUUGGAAAAAUGUUUUCAGAUGAGUGGGUACUCAUUCAAGAUAAAAACUGGGUUCAAUCUUCUUCUGGCUUUUCCCAGACCAUGUCCAGUACAGUGCGUUACAUUCAGCAUGCGCUCUUAUUAAUACUGGAAGAUAUUAUUGCUUCAUCUGUAAAAACUGUCCCACUAAAGGAUGACAUACCAAAUAAAAUAGACAUCAAAAUGUUGGUUGAGUGUUCCCGUUCUGCAAAGGAUGGGGUCACGCGCAACCAUAUAUUCUCACUGUUAUCCUCAAUUAUAAAGGUCAUUCCAGACAAGAUGUUGGAACAUAUAUUGGAUAUACUUACUGUUAUUGGAGAAUCAACUGUUACUCAGAUUGACAACUACUCGCAACGUGUGUUUGAGGAUCUUAUAGCUGCAGUUGUUCCCUGUUGGCUGGUAAAGACAAACAACCCAGAGAAAUUGCUCCAGAUUUUUGUGAAUGUGUUGCCUGCUGUGGCUGAGCAUCGGAGGUUGUCAAUUAUAGUGUACCUGUUAAGGAAAUUGGGAGAACGUAAUAGCUUGGCUUCCCUGCUUGUCCUUCUUUUCCAGUUGUUAGUUUCAAGGAAAGGACUAUCUUACCUUGAGGAUACACAAACUUCAGAUGGUCUUACAUCUUUUGUAAAACGAGAGUGGGAGUAUGCUUUUGCUGUGCAGAUAUGUGAGCAAUUUUCAUGCAUGAUAUGGCUUCCAUCCAUUGUUACGCAGCUUCAACUUAUAGGAACUGGUCAUUUAUGCCAAGAACUGUUCAUGCAAUUGCGAUUUGUAAUGGAGUUCAUUUUGCAAAAAUUGCAAGAUCCAGAAUUAUCUUUCAAGCUUGAAUCAACUGAAGAUUCUGAUAGCAUCCAGACAACUCUUCAAGAACUCAUGGAGCAUGUCGUUUUUCUUUUACAACUUGUUGACACAAGAAGAAAGCAAAUAAUUUGUCCUGUUAUGAUAAAGAAAGAAUUAAAAGAGUGUAUGUGUGCCGUCUUGAGGACUAUCACAACAGUUAUGAGUCCUGCAUCAUACUUUAGAGGGAUCAUCAAUUUGCUUGGCCAUUCAGAUGGAAAUGUGCAAAAGAAGGCUCUUGGACUUCUUUGUGUGACAUUAAGGGACCUUGAGUCAAUUAAUUCAAGGCUUAAGGGAAGAAGGGAACUAAAUGCAAGAUCAGGUGCUAAUUGGCUCCAUAUGGAUGAGACUGCUAUUGAAUCUUUUCAUAAGAUGUGUUUGGAAAUUGUUCGUUUAGUUGAUGAUAUGAUAGAUGAAGUUGAUACUUCAUUGAAACUUUCAGCAGUUUCCACACUGGAAGUCUUGGCUCACAGCUUUUCUUCUGAUUAUUCUAUCUUCAGCAUUUGCCUUCCCUAUAUAACAAGAGGAAUUAGUUCACACGACCUGGCCAUUUCUACUGGCUGCCUUCGAACGACUGGUGCUUUGGUUAAUGUGCUUGGACCAAAAUCAUUAACUGAGCUUCCUAGAAUAAUGAAAAAUGUGGUUAAAUUAUCUCAUGAAAUCAGUUCUCGAAGCGGUGAUGAAAACAACUCUGUUGCACUAUCAACUUCAAAAGAAUCUUUCAUGCAGUCUAUUCUUGUCACUUUGGAGGCAGUUGUGGACAAUCUUGGUGGCUUUUUAAAUCCAUACCUUGAAGAGGUUAUAGGACUAAUGGUUCUUGGUCCUGAGUAUACAACAGAAUCCAAACCAAAGCUGAAAUCGAAAGCUGAUGUAAUACGGAGGCUCCUUACUGAGAAAAUCCCUGUUCGACUUGCACUCCCUCCUUUGCUGAAGAUAUAUUCUGAUGCUGUGGUGUCUGGGGAUCCAAGUGUGGCAAUUACUUUUGAAAUGCUAGCUAGAUUAGUUAGUAAGAUGGAUAGAUCAUCUGUUGGUGGUCACCAUGGAAAAAUUUUUGACCUCUGCUUGUGUGCUCUUGAUCUUCGUCGUCAACACCCUGUUUCAAUUCACAACAUUGAUAUUGUUGAAAAAAGUGUCAUCAGUGCUAUGAUUUCUCUGACAAUGAAACUUACCGAGUCCAUGUUCAGGCCUCUCUUUAUCAGUAGUAUUGAUUGGGCAGAGUCACGUGUGGGAGAAAUUACCAAUGGGGGGAGUGUAUCUGUGGACAGGUCCAUUGCCUUGUAUGGUCUGGUGAACAAGCUUGCUGAGAAUCAUAGGUCUCUUUUUGUCCCUUACUUCAAGUACUUGCUUGAGGGUUGCAUACGGAAUCUUUUGGAUGCUGCAGAUGGGAAAGGUGCUGGCUUGAUUCGAAAGAAAAAGAAAGCCAAGAUUCAGGAAGCAGGAAAUGAUUUAAAAGACAAAAACAGUGUGUUAUCACUAAAAAGUUGGCACCUAAAGGCAUUAGUCAUAUCAGCUUUACAUAAAUGUUUUCUGUAUGACACUGGGAGCACAAAAUUUCUUGACUCAUCAAAUUUCCAGGUUCUCUUAAAACCCAUCGUCUCACAGCUUGCUGUGGAACCACCAACUUCUCUAGAAGAAAAUCCAAACAUACCAUCUGUUAAGGAAGUUGAUGAGUUGUUGGUAGUUUGCAUUGGUCAGAUGGCUGUUACUGCAGGAACUGACGUUCUAUGGAAGCCCCUGAACCAUGAGGUAUUAUUGCAAACCCGGAGCGAGAGGGUGCGGUCUCGAAUUUUAGGGCUGAGAAUUGUCAAACAUCUUUUGGAUAAUCUGAAAGAAGAGUACCUUGUAUUCUUGCCUGAAACCAUCCCCUUCCUGGGUGAGCUGCUGGAGGAUGUGGAGCUACCUGUGAAAUCUCUGGCACAGGAUAUUCUCAAGGAGAUGGAAUCCAUGAGUGGGGAAAGCCUUAGGCAAUACCUUUUGUGAUACUGAACAUCCGGUGUUUGGUGAGUGAUAUGGGUCGGUGGAUAUUCUAUGUCAUUCUCACGAGUUGAUGCAUGUAAUUCUAUAUUUACUGUGGGAAAAAUGUAAAUUAUAAAUUUUGUAUUUAUAGAUAGAAGAUUUAGGUCAAUCAACAAGCUGAAGCUUGCUUGGUUUGAGUGAGUUGAGGAUGCGUGAAAAUGCCAUGGUUGUAAGCUCCAGUGACGAAAAUAUGUUCUGUAUCAACCAAUGGCUUACAGAAACAUUCAGCAGUUCAUAUUAUCGAGCAAUUUUUAACUCUCUCUAUACAUGAUUCACUUUUA